rnacentral:rRNA from 1 species
CCCUUAGAUGUUCUGGGCCGCACGCGCGCUACACUGAUGCAUUCAACAAGCCUAGCCUUGACCGAGAGGGCCGGGUAAUCUUUGAAACUGCAUCGUGAUGGGGCUAGAUUAUUGCAAUUAUUAAUCUUCAACGAGGAAUGCCUAGUAAGCGUGAUUCAUCAAAUCGCGUUGAUUACGUCCCUGCCCUUUGUACACACCGCCCGUCGCUCCUACCGAUUGAAUGUGUUGGUGAGGAGCUCGGAUUGGCAGCAGUUGGUGGUUCGCCACCGGCUAUUGCUGAGAAGUCCUCCAAACCGCCCCAUUUAGAGGAAGGAGAAGUCGUAACA